CCUACGGGAGGCAGCAGUGAGGAAUAUUGGUCAAUGGGCGCAAGCCUGAACCAGCCAAGUAGCGUGAAGGAUGACUGCCCUACGGGUUGUAAGCUUCUUUUAUAAAGGAAUAAAGUGAGGCACGUGUGCCUUUUUGUAUGUACUUUAUGAAUAAGGAUCGGCUAACUCCGUGCCAGCAGCCGCGGUAAUACGGAGGAGCCGAGCGUUAUCCGGAUUUAUUGGGUUUAAAGGGAGCGUAGAUGGGUUGUUAAGUCAGUUGUGAAAGUUUGCGGCUCAACCGGAAUAUUGCAAUUGAUACUGGCAGUCUUGAGUACAGUUGAGGUAGGCGGAAUUCGUGGUGUAGCUGUGAAAUGCUUAGAGAUCACGAAGAACUCCGAUGGCGAAGGCAGCUUACUAAACUGCCACUGACAUUGAUGCUCGAAAGUGUGGGUAGCAAACAGGAUUAGAUACCCGUGUAGUC
rnacentral:rRNA from 1 species